rnacentral:rRNA from 1 species
GACAGAGGGUGCAAACGUUGUUCGGAAUUACUGGGCGUAAAGCGUGUGUAGGCGGCCACGUAAGUCGGAUGUGAAAGCCCCGGGCUCAACUCGGGAAGUGCACUCGAUACUGCGUGGCUUGAGUACUGGAGAGGUUGGUGGAAUUCUCGGUGUAGAGGUGAAAUUCGUAGAUAUCCUGAGGAACACCGGUGGCGAAAGCGGCGCGCUGGAUCCCUUCUGACGCUGAGGCGCGAAAGCCAGGGGAGCAAACGGG